rnacentral:rRNA from 1 species
UACGUAGGGCGCAAGCGUUGUCCGGAAUUAUUGGGCGUAAAGAGCUCGUAGGCGGUGUGUCGCGUCGGCCGUGAAAACCUGCAGCUUAACUGUGGGCUUGCGGUCGAUACGGGCAGGCUAGAGUUCGGUAGGGGAGAUCGGAAUUCCUGGUGUAGCGGUGAAAUGCGCAGAUAUCAGGAGGAACACCGGUGGCGAAGGCGGAUCUCUGGGCCGAUACUGACGCUGAGGAGCGAAAGCGUGGGGAGCGAACAGG